rnacentral:rRNA from 1 species
UUCCCAUUCCGAACACAGAAGUUAAGCUCUUGAGCGCUGAUGGUACUUGGUGGGCAACUGCCUGGGAGAGUAAGACGUAGCCACGU